rnacentral:lncRNA from 1 species
CGGUAGUAGUAAACCAAGAGGUAAAUACUGUAGGACUAACGGCGACACAUCACAAUGCCAAUGUGUUGGCUAUCCGUGUCGCUCUCAAGGAUACUAAUGGGAGCGAAAGAGAGAUACAUCAAUGAAUUCUCGGCGUCGCCUUGCCAUGCUUCCGGAUGCCGCUCAUUCCGAUGGACGAGGCACCUAUGUCGAGUUGAGGAAAGAUCAAGUACAUGUGCUGCACCAUGCCAGCCCGGUUCAGCCGGUGUUCUUUUUGUCAAAUUUUUAUGCCCAGUAGCCCAACAGAUUACUGAGGCCUUGUUCGGUUAUUCUUCAAGAGG